CCUACGGGUGACAGCAGUGAGGAAUAUUGGUCAAUGGACGCAAGUCUGAACCAGCCAUGCCGCGUGCAGGAAGACGGCUCUAUGAAUUGUAAACUGCUUUUGUACGAGGGUAAACGCAGAUACGUGUAUCUGUCUGAAAGUAUCGUACGAAUAAGGAUCGGCUAACUCCGUGCCAGCAGCCGCGGUAAUACGGAGGAUUCAAGCGUUAUCCGGAUUUAUUGGGUUUAAGGGGUGCGUAGGCGGUCGGAUAAGUUAGAGGUUAAAUCCCGAGGCUCAACUUCGGAAUUGCCGCUGAUACUGUUCGGCUAGAGAGUAGUUGCGGUAGGCGGAAUGUAUGGUGUAGCGGUGAAAUGCUUAGAGAUCAUACAGAACACCGAUUGCGAAGGCAGCUUACCAAGCUACUUCUGACGUUGAGGCACGAAAGCGUGGGGAGCAAACAGGAUUAGAUACCCGGGUAGUC
rnacentral:rRNA from 1 species